GUGAGGACUGGUGGAGCGCUAAGAAGUGAGAAUGCCGGUAUGAGUAACGAUUCGUGGUGAGAAUCCACGACGCCUAUUGGGGAAGGUUUCCUGGGCAAGGUUCGUCCACCCAGGGUUAGUCAGGACCUAAGGCGAGGCGGAUACGCGUAGUCGAUGGACAACAGGUUAAUAUUCCUGUACUUUCUAUAAUAGUGAUGGAGUGACGGAGAAGGAUAGGCUUACCUCUUACUGGAUUGAGGGGCAAGUAGCAACUGGAAAUUGUAGGCAAAUCCGCAAUUUGUAACCGGGAGCUGUGACGCAUAGGCGCAAGCUGAAUUAGUUGAUUUCAUACUUCCAAGAAAAGCUUCUAAACUUAAUAUUAUGGAAACCUGUACCGAGAACGGACACACGUCCCCAAGAUGAGUAUUCUAAGGCGAGCGAGAAAACUAGUGUUAAGGAACUCUGCAAAAUGACCCCGUAAGUUCGCAAGAAGGGGUGCUCACGCAAGUGAGCCACAGAAAAUUAUGAGGGGCAACUGUUUAUCAAAAACACAGCUCUCUGCUAAACCGCAAGGUGAUGUAUAGGGGGUGAAGCCUGCCCAGUGCCCGAAGGUUAAGUGGAUGCGUUAGCUUUAUGCGAAGCGUUGAAAUGAAGCCCGGGUGAACGGCGGCCGUAACUAUAACGGUCCUAAGGUAGCGAAAUUCCUUGUCGGCUAAAUACUGACCUGCACGAAAGGCGCAAUGAUCUCUCAACUGUCUCAACACUAGACUCGGUGAAAUUAUGGUCCCAGUGAAAACGCUGGGUACCCGCAUCAAGACGAAAAGACCCCAUGGAGCUUUACUACAACUUCGUAUUGAAAUUUGGUCUAACAUGUGUAGGAUAGGUGGGAGACUUUGAAGCUAAGACGCCAGUCUUAGUGGAGUCAACCUUGAAAUACCACCCUUGUUAUAUUGAGUUUCUAACCUGCCAUCAUCAUCGGGUGGGGGGACAGUGCGUGGUGGGUAGUUUGACUGGGGCGGUCGCCUCCUAAAGAGUAACGGAGGCGUUCAAAGGUACACUCAAUACGGUCAGAAACCGUAUGCAGAGCGCAAAGGUAGAAGUGUGCUUGACUGUGAGACUUACAAGUCGAGCAGGUGCGAAAGCAGGACUUAGUGAUCCGGCUGUACAUUGUGCAAUGGCAGUCGCUCAACGGAUAAAAGUUACCCUGGGGAUAACAGGCUUAUCUUGCCCAAGAGAUCACAUCGACGGCAAGGUUUGGCACCUCGAUGUCGGCUCAUCGCAUCCUGGAGCUGGAGUCGGUUCCAAGGGUUGGGCUGUUCGCCCAUUAAAGCGGUACGCGAGCUGGGUUCAGAACGUCGUGAGACAGUUCGGUCCCUAUCUGAUGUGGGCGUUGGAAUAUUGAUGAGAGCCGUUUUUAGUACGAGAGGACCGAAACGGACGUACCACUGGUGUUCCAGUUGUUCCGCCAGGAGCAUAGCUGGGUAGCUAAGUACGGAAAGGAUAACCGCUGAAAGCAUCUAAGUGGGAAGCCUCCUCAAAGAUUAGUAUUCCCUUGA
rnacentral:rRNA from 1 species